GAACCGUACAAACGUUAUUCGGAGUCACUGGGCUUAAAGGGUGCGUAGGCGGCGUGGCAAGUUGGGUGUGAAAUCCCCCGGCUCAACCGGGGAACUGCGCCCAAAACUGCCAUGCUAGAGGGAGACAGGGGUGAGCGGAACUUAGGGUGGAGCGGUGAAAUGCGUUGAUAUCCUAAGGAACACCGGUGGCGAAGGCGGCUCACUGGGUCUCUUCUGACGCUGAGGCACGAAAGCUAGGGGAGCGAACGGGAUUAGAUACCCCGGGUAGUCCUAGCUGUAAACGAUGAGCACUUGGUUGGAGACUCCCUCCCAUAGGUUUCCGGCCGUAGCGAAAGUGUUAAGUGCUCCGCCUGGGGAGUAUGUCCGCAAGGAUG
rnacentral:rRNA from 1 species